UACGGGGGGGGCAAGCGUUGUUCGGAAUUACUGGGCGUAAAGGGCUGGUAGGCGGCCAACUAAGUCGGAUGUGAAAUCCCCAGGCUUAACCUGGGAACUGCAUCCGAUACUGGUCGGCUUGAAUCCGGGAGAGGUGAGUGGAAUUCCGAGUGUAGAGGUGAAAUUCGUAGAUAUUCGGAAGAACACCAGUGGCGAAGGCGGCUCACUGGACCGGUAUUGACGCUGAGGUGCGAAAGCGUGGGGAGCAAACAGG
rnacentral:rRNA from 1 species